rnacentral:rRNA from 1 species
GAUGAACGCUGGCGGCGUGCCUAAUACAUGCAAGUCGAGCGAACAGACGAGGAGCUUGCUCCUCUGACGUUAGCGGCGGACGGGUGAGUAACACGUGGAUAACCUACCUAUAAGACUGGGAUAACUUCGGGAAACCGGAGCUAAUACCGGAUAAUAUAUUGAACCGCAUGGUUCAAUAGUGAAAGACGGUUUUGCUGUCACUUAUAGAUGGAUCCGCGCCGCAUUAGCUAGUUGGUAAGGUAACGGCUUACCAAGGCAACGAUGCGUAGCCGACCUGAGAGGGUGAUCGGCCACACUGGAACUGAGCCACGGUCCAGACUCCUACGGGAGGCAGCAGUAGGGAAUCUUCCGCAAUGGGCGAAAGCCUGACGGAGCAACGCCGCGUGAGUGAUGAAGGUAUUCGGAUCGUAAAACUCUGUUAUUAGGGAAGAACAAAUGUGUAAGUAACUAUGCACGUCUUGACGGUACCUAAUCAGAAAGCCACGGCUAACUACGUG